CUACGGGUGGCUGCAGUGAGGAAUAUUGCACAAUGGGGGGAACCCUGAUGCAGCAACGCCGCGUGGAGGAUGACGCAUUUCGGUGUGUAAACUCCUUUUAUAUGUCAAGAAAAUGACGGUAGCAUAUGAAUAAGCACCGGCUAACUCCGUGCCAGCAGCCGCGGUAAUACGGAGGGUGCAAGCGUUACUCGGAAUCACUGGGCGUAAAGGACGCGUAGGCGGGUUGGAAAGUCAGGUGUGAAAUCCUACAGCUUAACUCUAGAACUGCACUUGAAACUUCUAAUCUAGAGUAUGGGAGGGGGAGAUGGAAUUAGUGGUGUAGGGGUAAAAUCCGUAGAUAUCACUAGGAAUACCUAAAGCGAAGGCGAUCUCCUGGAACAUUACUGACGCUAAGGCGUGAAAGCGUGGGGAGCAAACAGGAUUAGAUACCCUAGUAGUC
rnacentral:rRNA from 1 species